rnacentral:snRNA from 1 species
AUCGCUUCUCGGCCUUUUGGCUAAGAUCAAGUGUAGUAUCUGUUCUUAUCAGUUUAAUAUCUGAUACGUCCCCUACCCGGGGACCAUAUAUUAAAUUGAUUUUUGGAUCAGGGAGCCGGAACGGGGGGCUUGCUCCUUCCACUCCACGCAUCGACCCGGGUAUUGCAUUACCUCCAGGUACGGUGCACAUUCU